UCCAUACUCCAUAAGUGCAUCACUUAUCUCUCAUUCCUUGAGCGAAACAACAUACAUACUAAGUAAGAAUUAAUAAGCAACAUGAUAUUUGAGUGGUAGGUCUUUUGAAGGGUCUAAUUUAAAUAAAAACUAGUCCUAAGAUUAUGAAUCUUAUAUAAGACAAAUCUUGUAUGUCAUCAUUCAUUCUAUGUCCUAGGGGUUAUAGCUUUUAUAGAAUAUUAAUCAGCUAAAUGUAAAUUACAUAUCCUUUUAGAGUAUGUAGUUGUAUCUGAG
rnacentral:lncRNA from 1 species